GCGAACUUGGCGGAAUGGUAGACGCAGGAGACUUAAAAUCUCCAGUCCGUAAGGGCGUGCGGGUUCGAGUCCCGCAGUUCGCACCA
rnacentral:tRNA from 1 species